rnacentral:rRNA from 1 species
CCUACGGGUGGCAGCAGUGAGGAAUAUUGCUCAAUGGACGCAAGUCUGAACCAGCCACGCCGCGUGCAGGAAGACGGCUCUAUGAGUUGUAAACUGCUUUUGUACGAGGGUAAAUGCAGAUACGUGUAUCAGGCUGAAAGUAUCGUACGAAUAAGGAUCGGCUAACUCCGUGCCAGCAGCCGCGGUAAUACGGAGGAUUCAAGCGUUAUCCGGAUUUAUUCGGUUUAAAGGGUGCGUAGGCGGUCGGAUAAGUUAGAGGUGAAAUCUCGAGGCUCAACUUCGGAAUUGCCUCUGAUACUGUUCGGCUAGAGGGUAGUUGCGGUAAGCGGAAUGUAUGGUGUAGCGGUGAAAUGCUUAGAGAUCAUACAGAACACCGAUUGCGAAGGCAGCUUACCAGGCUGCUACUGACGUUGAGGCACGAAAGCGUGGGGAGCAAACAGGAUUAGAUACCCUUGUAGUC